rnacentral:rRNA from 1 species
CGGUUGAUCCUGCCGGACCUGACUGCUAUCGGAUUGAUACUAAGCCAUGCGAGUCUUUGCAGUAAUGCAAGGCAUACGGCUCAGUAACACGUAGUCAACUUACCCUAUGGACGAGGAUAAUCUCGGGAAACUGAGCAUAAUACUCGAUAGAUCAUAAUGCCUGGAAUGGUUUAUGGUUAAAAUGAUUCGUCGCCAUAGGAUGGGACUGCGGCCUAUCAGCUUGUUGGUGAGGUAAUGGCCCACCAAGGCGAUUACAGGUACGGGCUCUGAGAGGAGAAGCCCGGAGAUGGGUACUGAGACAAGGACCCAGGCCCUAUGGGGCGCAGCAGGCGAGAAAACUUUGCAAUGUGCGAAAGCACGACAAGGUUAAUCCGAGUGAUUUCUGCUAAAGAAAUCUUUUGCAAGUCAUAAAACCACUAGUGAAUAAGGGGUGGGCAAGUUCUGGUGUCAGCCGCCGCGGUAAAACCAGCACCUCAAGUGGUCAGGAGGAUUAUUGGGCCUAAAGCAUCCGUAGCCGGCUCUGUAAGUUUUCGGUUAAAUCCAUGUGCUCAACGCAUGGGCUGCCGAAAAUACUGCAUAGCUAGGGAGUGGGAGAGGUAGACGGUACUCGGUAGGAAGGGGUAAAAUCCUUUGAUCUAUCGAUGACCACCUGUGGCGAAGGCGGUCUACCAGAACACGUUCGACGGUGAGGGAUGAAAGCUGGGGGAGCAAACCGGAUUAGAUACCCGGGUAGUCCCAGCUGUAAACGAUGCAGACUCGAUGAUGCAUUGGCAUAUAGCCAGUGCAGUGUCGCAGGGAAGCCGUUAAGUCUGCCGCCUGGGAAGUACGUACGCAAGUAUGAAACUUAAAGGAAUUGGCGGGGGAGCACCACAAGGGGUGAAGCCUGCGGUUCAAUUGGAUUCA